CGGAGGGUGCAAGCGUUAUCCGGAUUCACUGGGUUUAAAGGGAGCGUAGGAGGGCAGGUAAGUCAGUGGUGAAAUCUUCGAGCUUAACUCGGAAACUGCCGUUGAUACUAUCUGUCUUGAAUACCGUGGAGAUGAGCGGAAUAUGUCAUGUAGCGGUGAAAUGCUUAGAUAUGACAUAGAACACCAAUUGCGAAGGCAGCUCGUUACACGAAUAUUGACUCUGAGGCUCGAAAGCGUGGGGAUCAAACAGGAUUAGUUACCCUGGUAGUCCACGCCCUAAACGAUGGAUACUCGACAUACGCGAUACACUGUGUGUGUCUGAGCGAAAGCAUUAAGUAUCCCACCUGGGAAGUACGACCGCAAGGUUG
rnacentral:rRNA from 1 species